rnacentral:rRNA from 1 species
AUUGAACGCUGGCGGCAGGCCUAACACAUGCAAGUCGAGCGGAUGAAGGGAGCUUGCUCCUGGACUCAGCGGCGGACGGGUGAGUAAUGCCUAGGAAUCUGCCUGGUAGUGGGGGAUAACGUCCGGAAACGGGCGCUAAUACCGCAUACGUCCUGAGGGAGAAAGGGGGGGAUCUUCGGACCUCACGCUAUUAGAUGAGCCUAGGUCGGAUUAGCUAGUUGGUGGGGUAAAGGCCUACCAAGGCGACGAUCCGUAACUGGUCUGAGAGGAUGAUCAGUCACACUGGAACUGAGACACGGUCCAGACUCCUACGGGAGGCAGCAGUGGGGAAUAUUGGACAAUGGGCGAAAGCCUGAUCCAGCCAUGCCGCGUGUGUGAAGAAGGUCUUCGGAUUGUAAAGCACUUUAAGUUGGGAGGAAGGGCAGUAAGUUAAUACCUUGCUGUUUUGACGUUACCAACAGAAUAAGCACCGGCUAACUUCGUG